CCUCCAUCACAAGGACCAGGAAAUGCUUGAGCUCCUGCAAGAGAGGGUUACAGUAUUCUGUGAGCUGGCAGAGGUGUCAAGUGGUCAGGAGGGCCUACAACCUCCCAUCACACGUUACCUAUUCAGGGCAGACACACCCCAAGCUCCCCGUGCAGAGAAACUCCUACUGGAUGCUACAGCUGAAGUGGACAAGUUGAGUGAAGUCCUUCUGGGCUCCAGUGUGGACAUCCCUCUUCUAUGCCAUCACAACUGCAACGUGAUAGAAGCCAGUAAUCAGGAUCUGUUGGUCAAUGGAGCCCAUGAUUUCUGUGCAGGAAAGGAGAUCUGUCAAAGGCUGGUGAAUCUCAGUGUUUAUCUCCAUGCACUCCAGGGUGCUAUCAUCAAACAAGACUCCAUCUUGGAGCUGCUGCGACAGGACACCAUGGUGCCAGCUGUAGGAGGAGUAUGGCGCCCCCUCUGGCAAGAUGGUGGAAAUCGGGAGGGCAGUGUGGGAUCAACCAUUGGGGAGCUGACUCUUUUACAGAGACAACACAGCCUGCUGCAGGAAGAACUGCUUAGGCUGCGGGAUGCCGAGAACCGGUUUAAGGACAGUGAGAAGGCCCGGGCAAAGCUAGAGAGACAAGUACGAAACAUGAGGGUUUGCAACAGGGCUGCACCUGACUCCGAGCAGCUGGAGGAGCAGGCUUCUCAACCUGCAUCUCUUCAACCAGAAAGGGAGGUCAUAGCUGACACCCCACGGGCCAGAGCGGAGCCAAUCCACCCAUCAGAUGGUGUACAGGAUGAAAGUGAUUUGGAGGUAGACAUGACAUCGGACGAUGAUGAUGGGACAGCAUCUGCAAGCUCUUAAGAUUUUCUGAAAGGGCUGGCAAAUGCAAGCAGCUGUACCAAAACAAUUACAAUAAUAACAAGACUGCAAUAUCUUCAAGAUAUUCCAGAGGACAUCUGAUUGUCUAAAUAUUUCACAUGGCUGAUCAGGUUAUAUGGAUUUUGAUGUAACCUGAUUGACUUCAAAAAUGUGUAUCUUAUAGUCUUAAUAUUUAUUUAGCUGCUUUUGAGUGGAUGGCAUGUGGCAGUGAAUUGUUUGAUUUAAAAUGUUUAUGCUUUGGAUGUUUCCAUGAUUUAAUCACUUGACUAAAGGGUGUGGAAAAUAGAUUGAUAUUUCUUAUAUGCAUGUAACAAUUAAAUCUCAAGUUUUGACAAGGUCUGAUGGUUAGGGUGUAUUGCUAAUCUUCAAUUACUUUACAUAGUAGAAGUUAAAUAUCCACUUUUUUUCAUCAUUAUUUUUUUCUCCAAAAUAUCUAGGAAUUUAGUCGUAACUUGUUUAUAUUGAAAUAAACAAAUUUAUGAAAAUUGGACAUGACAAAUGGAAUCACACCUUUGUGGUUUACAUCAGAGUUUUGGUGGGUGGCAUCAAGCAGUUCCAGGGGUCAAUGAAUGAGCAGAAUAGCCUGAAUGGGUGUGAUUUGUUUAGAGUUCCAAGAUACAAUAGUUUAAGCAAAUAUUACUGAUUUCCAUUAUUUCCACUGGUGUGAAAUUAAUGAAUGCCCCUAGACAUACAGUUUAAUUGUGUAUUUGAAUGUGAAUUUGGUGUUGUCUAAAGCUAUGUCAGCAAUAUUAGGCUACAUUUACUCAAUUGAGUGUCUAUUGGAUCAUAUAAUAUCACAAUUCACAUCCAGAAAUUAAGAUAAAUUAGAGUGGGCACAUUCUUCUAAGCUUUGUCUGACGGGAGGUCCACAGUACAGAACAGAGUAAAACCUGUGCAAUAUCGCAACAAUGGUAUCAUUUUUCAGUUAAUUAAAAAGCAAAGUUUUUUGGACUACAAAAAUUUGACCCCAAGUACAACCUCAAUGCAACAAAACAGGAGUACAUCUGUAAUCAGGUGAAGUCAGUUGACCUGCUGAGCAGAAAACAGCAGACUGACAAAAUUACAGUGCAUUCUGAAUUUUCUUUCCCUCAAGACAAAACUCAAUAUCCCAAAAUUACAAAGCAAAAAUGCAAUGUUGGGAAUUUUCAAGAUGGGAAAGAUGAAAUCUCACAUUGACAUAAGUAUUCAGACUCCUGGUGCGAUCCCAGUCUUUUCCAUUACCCCAAAUUACCCCCUGAUGGCUGUGCUUGAUCUCAAAAAUAAAUCGAGACCAUUUGUUCCCUUCUGUAUUUAGAUUAAACAUUUUUGCAGUAGUAACCUCUUGAGUUUGACGUGACAACCUUUGCACACUUUGUUUUGAGGAUUUUGAGUCUUUCUUCUCUCAAAAUCUGUUAGGUGUACAUUGAUGCUUAGCCAUGUUCAUGUCUCUCCAGACA